CACAGGAUAAAACCCGAAAUAGUGAACUCGGAAUUUUGGAACUAAGUGAAAGACAAUGAUUGUUUACCAUAAAGAUUUUCCCGUUUUGCCGGACCAUUCGAUGUGGUUUACCAGAGCCUGGAUUGUAGUACAAUGCUUGAUAAAACCCGAAAUAGUGAACUCGGAAUUUUGGAACUAAGUGAAAGACAAUGAUUGUUUACCAUAAAGAUUUUCCCGUUUUGCCGGACCAUUCGAUGUGGUUUACCAGAGCCUGGAUUGUAGUACAAUGCUUGUAAG